rnacentral:misc_RNA from 1 species
AAAUGCGAUAAGUAGUGUGAAUUGCAGAAUUCAGUGAAUCAUCGAAUCUUUGAACGCACAUUGCGCCCUUUGGUAUUCCAAAGGGCAUGCCUGUUCGAGCGUCAUUUGUAACCUCAAGCUUUGCUUGGUGUUGGGCGUCUUGUCUCUAGCUUUGCUGGAGACUCGCCUUAAAGUAAUUGGCAGCCGGCCUACUGGUUUCGGAGCGCAGCACAAGUCGCACUCUCUAUCAGCAAAGGUCUAGCAUCCAUUAAGCCUUUUUUUCAACUUUUGACCUCGGAUCAGGUAGGGAUACCCGCUGAACUUAAGC